AAUGUUAAUCUAAUUCUAUUUUCGAUUUUAAAAAGUACCUCUUUUAAACUUUGGCGAUAAACAUGGAUUUGGGAAAAAUUGUUGUCUUAGAUGAAGUGGAACUGUUUUUAUAUAUACUCUACAUUUUUUCCGCACUCUACAUAAUCUUCUCUGCUAUUAUGUAUCACAUUUGCGAAACGAAAGCUUUUAGGACUUAUCAACAAAUUUCUUGUUUGAGCUUAUCUGACGAUGAUCAAAAUGUUGCUACCUCAGACAUUACUGAAGAAAACUAAAAGAUUGUACCGUAAAUAUUCCAAUUUUUCUGUAGAGCUCCUUCUCAAAAAUGUGCAGUGAAAGUUGAAAGUUUUCCUAAGCAAUUAAAUUUAAUUAUUGGACGAAGCCAAAACAGACUUAAGAGUAAAUUACACAUUUUUGCAAUUUAAUGGAAUCUUCGACUACAAAUCAACUUCACAAAAUUCAGAAGAUAUAGAAAUAUGGAAGGAGUUCUAUAUCAAUUAGCAGAGUAUCCGAAACAAAGUUAAGCAGGAAGUUAUUGUAACAUAUAAUAUAACUAAAAUCAAAAUUAAGCAAUAAUCUAAACAGGAUACAAUUUUUUUAUACACAAAAU